CCUACGGGAGGCAGCAGUGAGGAAUAUUGGUCAAUGGACGAGAGUCUGAACCAGCCAAGUAGCGUGAAGGAUGACUGCCCUAUGGGUUGUAAACUUCUUUUAUAUGGGAAUAAAAUGUUCCACGUGUGGGAUUUUGUAUGUACCAUAUGAAUAAGGAUCGGCUAACUCCGUGCCAGCAGCCGCGGUAAUACGGAGGAUCCGAGGGUUAUCCGGAUUUAUUGGGUUUAAAGGGAGCGUAGGUGGAUUGUUAAGUCAGUUGUGAAAGUUUGCGGCUCAACCGUAAAAUUGCAGUUGAAACUGGCAGUCUUGAGUACAGUAGAGGUGGGCGGAAUUCGUGGUGUAGCGGUGAAAUGCUUAGAUAUCACGAAGAACUCCGAUUGCGAAGGCAGUUCACUGGACUGCAACUGACACUGAGGCUCGAAAGUGUGGGUAUCAAACAGGAUUAGAUACCCGAGUAGUC
rnacentral:rRNA from 1 species